GAUGAACGCUGGCGGCAUGCCUAACACAUGCAAGUCGAUCGGUAAGGCUCUUCGGAGUACACGAGAGGCGGACGGCUGAGUAACGCGUAGGAACACACCCUGCAGUGAGGGAUAAGACACCGAAAGGUGUUCUAAUACCGCAUACGGUCUUCGGAUUAAAGCAUUUAUGCGCUGAAGGAGUGGCCUGCGUCAUAUUAGAUAGUUGGUGAGGUAAUGGCUUACCAAGUCGAUGAUGUGUAGCUGGUCUGAGAGGAUGAUCAGCCAGACUGGAACUGAGACACGGUCCAGACUCCUACGGGAGGCAGCAGUGAGGAAUAUUUCACAAUGAGCGAAAGCUUGAUGGAGCAAUGCCGCGUGCAGGAUGAAGGCCCUCGGGUUGUAAACUGCUUUUAUAAGAGAAGAUUAUGACGGUAACUUAUGAAUAAGGGACGGCUAACUACGUGCCAGCAGCCGCGGUCAUACGUAGGUCCCGAGCGUUAUCCGGAGUGACUGGGCGUAAAGAGUUGCGUAGGCGGUCAAGUUAGCGAGCGAUGAAAACUAUCGGCUCAACCGAUAGCUUGUUGUUCGAACUGCUUGACUCGAGAGUAUCAGAGGUCGCUGGAAUUCCUAGUGUAGCAGUGAAAUGCGUAGAUAUUAGGAAGAACACCGAUGGCGUAGGCAGGCGACUGGGAUAUUUCUGACGCUAAGGCACGAAAGCGUGGGUAGCGAACCGG
rnacentral:rRNA from 1 species